AAAUGGGCAAGAUUCAGUCCAAGCCUAUGGGCUCAGCCCUUUGUUUCCCAGAGCCUCAGCCUCCAUGCCUAUUCACCCACACACUACCAGCCCCUCCACCCAGGAACAGCAUCAGCAACCACGCAGAGAGGAGCCCAUUGCUGCUGAAGGUGAGAGGCUGUCCUCUGCCUGCUUUCAGGACUCCUGGUUCUCAGGCUGCUAGACCUGAACUGGAAUCUACAGCCACUGGCUCUCUGGCUUUCAGGUCUUCAAACUACAUCACCAGCUUUCCUGGGCCUGAACCUUGCCAAUGACAGAUUGUGGGACUUCUCAGCCUCCAUAAACAUGUGAGCCCGUAUUUUAUCACCAAUAUUUUUAUCUAUAUCUAUAUAUUUAUAUAUCUAUCUGUAUCUAUAUCUCCUAUUGGGUUUCUUUUUCUGGAGAACUCUGACUAAUACAAAAGGAUUUACGAACUUUGUUUUAGCCAACAGCAACUGCCCAUUGGAAGCACAUUGGAAUGGCAAUCCAACAUCCAAAAUGGCUGGGAAAGUGAAGUACUUCAGUUAUUGGAAUAUACUAGUUAGCUGACAAUUUCCAUCUGCCAAUAUCACAAGUGAGAGGACUAUUUCUAAACACUUAACACUAAAUUAUACAGAACAAAAUUCCGUCUUCUUUGGACUAUUCAAAUGUCAUUUUGAAAUGGCUGCUGCAUGGCCAGCAGACUGAGGUGAGAGAAAUUUGUAGCUGUAGAGAAUCCUCAUUAAUGCAGUGAGGCCUUCCCUUUCUAGGCAAUUCCUGGAUCUAAGAGAGAUUAACUGAGACUGACACCUUUAAAGGUCUGAAAAGAUAUUUACUGUCUACUCUCUCGGAGCACUGCUCUCUAUGAGGCUUCAUCCAUAUAACAAAGCUACCUUUGCUAGAUCGGCGUCUUCCUUUCUCCCUCUCAUAAUCUGUCUUGCCACUAAACCUGAUUUACCAACAUAACCAGUUUUGGGCUACACUCUGAGCUCACAUUUUUUUCUAUAACCUCAGGAUGGAAUAUAAGAUUCUGUGCCUUAUUGUUGGCUUGGGUCUUUAUUCUGAAGGUUCCUUUGUGUGCAUGUUAAAUAAGUUUGUAUGCCUUUUCUCCUAUUAAAGCAAAAACAAAAACAAAAGUCA
rnacentral:lncRNA from 1 species